rnacentral:rRNA from 1 species
UCGAACGGUAGCACAGAGAGCUUGCUCUUGGGUGACGAGUGGCGGACGGGUGAGUAAUGUCUGGGAAACUGCCCGAUGGAGGGGGAUAACUACUGGAAACGGUAGCUAAUACCGCAUAACGUCGCAAGACCAAAGUGGGGGACCUUCGGGCCUCACACCAUCGGAUGUGCCCAGAUGGGAUUAGCUAGUAGGUGGGGUAAUGGCUCACCUAGGCGACGAUCCCUAGCUGGUCUGAGAGGAUGACCAGCCACACUGGAACUGAGACACGGUCCAGACUCCUACGGGAGGCAGCAGUGGGGAAUAUUGCACAAUGGGCGCAAGCCUGAUGCAGCCAUGCCGCGUGUAUGAAGAAGGCCUUCGGGUUGUAAAGUACUUUCAGCGAGGAGGAAGGCAUUAAGGUUAAUAACCUUAGUGAUUGACGUUACUCGCAGAAGAAGCACCGGCUAACUCCGUGCCAGCAGCCGCGGUAAUACGGAGGGUGCAAGCGUUAAUCGGAAUUACUGGGCGUAAAGCGCACGCAGGCGGUCUGUCAAGUCGGAUGUGAAAUCCCCGGGCUCAACCUGGGAACUGCAUUCGAAACUGGCAGGCUAGAGUCUUGUAGAGGGGGGUAGAAUUCCAGGUGUAGCGGUGAAAUGCGUAGAGAUCUGGAGGAAUACCGGUGGCGAAGGCGG